rnacentral:misc_RNA from 1 species
ACUACGUGUUUACCCACUAGGAAGACCAACCAUUAACACAGUUGCAGUACAAUUUGACGGAAAGAAAAUGAAUCUCUUUGAUUUUGGCCAAGGAAUUACUUUGAAAGAAUUAUUGGAAAACCCAGAUUUGAAAAAUCCACCCAAACUGGUCGGUAAGUAGGCAAUAUUUUAAGCAAGAAAGCCUUAGUCAGACAAUUUAAUUCUCGAAUCUUCUAAGUUUCUAUUGCAACUGUAAGUGGAAUUUGCAUGCUCAUCUGUUCAAUAUUAAUCUAAAAUUGCAUCAUUACAUAUUUAAGAGUUAUAUCUGGCGUGCGACCAGUCUUUGCCAAAUACUAUUUCUCGCCAGUGCAUUUUUACGUCAUUUUUCGUAUAAUUAUUAUUUUAUGUGUUGAUAAAAUGACGUAACAAUGCACUGGCGAGAAAUGGUACUGGGCGAGAAAUGGUUGCACUGCCACUGGCACCAGUAUAAAUUGCCUUAUAAAUGCAUUAAAACUAUAGCAUACAUGCAUAUCCAGAGACAGAGAGAGAGAGUAAUGUUAUAAAAUUUGCAGAUGGCAAAGAAAAGGGAAAGACAGCAACAGGCAGGUUUGAUUCCUCCUCGGCAUUUCUGGGGCCUAAUCUCUGGAACAAUCCUGAAAACAAUGACUUCAACUUGGAAUUCAUGGAUCUUGAUGAGUUCUUGUCAGAAACUGGAAUGGGUUCUGGUGACAACUCAAACUCCAGUGAGGGAAGGUUAGCAGCUAGCCCUCCACCAUCUCCAGAAGAUCUGGCAGAUGUUUUAAUCCCACUGAUAGAAUCACCUCAGAAAGAGGAAACUACAGUAGUCCCAUCUUCACCAGCAAAGGAUAGCCCUACUGCUACCUCGCCCCCUAGUCCAAGUGUCCAGUAUGAUAUUGACCCCACAGAUCUUGCUUUGGCAUCAAUUCCAGGUCAGAAUUUUGAUCCAAAGAGAAGGAGGUUCACUGAAGAUGAACUUGAAGCCUCAGCCAAUCAUUCAAGAAGUCAAGAAAGGUAAUUAACUGAUUGUAUUGCCAUCAAUGACCAUUUCAUCUAACACAACCAGCAGGUCUGACCUUGUUGUUUUUCCCAAGUAAAUCAUCUGAAAUGUUAAGUAAUGGUAAUGAGAUGACGCAGUAGAUCUUUGUUUCUGUUCUGUAAACAACACACACACAGAGCGAGCUUGACCUAAUUUAAAUACAAGCUUUUCUGAAUUAUCUAGACUAAAUAAUUUCAUUGCAAUAUGGAAUAGUAAUAAAAGUUUCAGCAGGUAUUUUUUAGAAUAAAUUGAUUUUAUUGUAACACGUAAAGUGUGGAUGAAAAAAAGUUUUUGUCAUAAUUAUAGACAAGGUAAUUCUAUAAUAUGGGCUUACAUUUUCUACAUUCUUAAUUGAUAGUAUCUGACAUGUUCCUGUACCAUCUAAAAAAAAAGAAAUACACAGCUCACUUCUUUGCUCAAGCAUAAAUGCCAAUAGUGUUUAUGGAUGGCAAACAUUUUACUGUCAUUUAUUGUCAACAAUUGAGUGAAAAUUGGCCCAGAAUUAUUAAGCUGCUGUGAAUUGAGACAUUGUGAGAGUGUCGAUAGAGCAUCCAUUAACUGUUCUGUUGUAAAUGUUCACAACUCAUUAGGAUCAACUUGUUUUCAGGUGUAUGUACCUGAUGAGUGCAAGGAUCAGAAAUACUGGUCGCGAAGAAAGAAGAAUAACGUCGCAGCAAAGAGAUCCAGAGAGGCGCGCCGAAUCAAAGAAAAUCAGAUCGCUCUGCGAGCUGCCUAUCUGGAGAAGGAGAACAGUACUUUGAAAGACGAACUUAAAAAUCUGAAACUUGAAAAUACACAGUUGUCGACUCGGACUCGAAAAAUAUGAAGGAAAACGACCAUUGCUGUAGCUCCCAUUAAGGAUCAGAAGAUAUUUGUUUUUAUGCGUCUUCAUCUAUAACUUCAUUUCCUCGGAUCAUUCUGUCAGUGUAAAUGGUUGUUAUUGAAAUAUAUGUAACAAUUUCUACCUCUUUUUCAUCAAGCACACUCUACUUAAAUUACAUGUAAAAGUAACAGGUUAUCAAAAUAUUGUUAAAGUUCUUCUAAAGACACAAAUGACAUAAAAUGGAGGGCAUUAUAUAUAUUUUAUCGAUAUUGUAUACUUUUUAUAUUCAGGAUUUUGUUAUAAUAGAAUUAAGUGUGUUUUAGAUCAUGAUAUUAUAAAGACCUGGAAAUGAAGUGUUACGAUAUAAUAUUAUUGUUUUGAUUGUUAUGACAAUCAUUGUAAAUAUUCAUUGUGUAUAGAAUUCCUUCAUAAGAGGGUUGAAAAUAGGCCUUUAAAUAUAUAUUAUAGUAUUGUUUGCAAAUUCUGUUGUUUUAAAUUUGUUUAUAACAACAUAUAUUUCCUGAAGCACAUUUUAUUUGUCUGAUUGAUGGAAAACUGAACAAAAUGUA